UACGUAGGGGGCAAGCGUUGUCCGGAUUUAUUGGGCGUAAAGAGCGUGUAGGCGGCCAAGCAGGUCCGCUGUGAAAACUCGAGGCUCAACCUCGAGACGUCGGUGGAAACCGUUUGGCUAGAGUCCGGAAGAGGAGAGUGGAAUUCCCGGUGUAGCGGUGAAAUGCGCAGAUAUCGGGAAGAACACCCGUGGCGAAGGCGGCCCUCUGGGACGGUACUGACGCUGAGACGCGAAAGCGUGGGGAGCGAACAGG
rnacentral:rRNA from 1 species